rnacentral:rRNA from 1 species
GGUUGAUCCUGCCAGUAGCAUAUGCUUGUCUCAAAGAUUAAGCCAUGCAUGUCCAAGUAUAAACACGUUUAUACAGCGAAACUGCGUACAGCUCAUUAAAUCAGUUAUAAUUUAUUUGAUGGUUUCCUUCUUUGUGGCUUUUGCUGCAAAAAAGACUAUAUGGAUACCCGUAGUAAUUCUAGAGCUAAUACAUGCGUCGAGUUCUGAAAGAGGGUUUACUCUCUGGAGGAAUGUAUUUAUUAGAUACCAACCAAAAAGGACUUUUUUUGGUGAAUCAUAGUAACUGUGCAGA